rnacentral:rRNA from 1 species
GACGUAGGGCGCGAGCGUUGUCCGGAUUUAUUGGGCGUAAAGAGCUCGUAGGCGGCUUGUCGCGUCGACUGUGAAAACCCGCGGCUCAACCGUGUGGUCUGCAGUCGAUACGGGCAGGCUAGAGUUCGGUAGGGGAGACUGGAAUUCCUGGUGUAGCGGUGAAAUGCGCAGAUAUCAGGAGGAACACCGGUGGCGAAGGCGGGUCUCUGGACAGUUCCUGACGCUGAGGCGCGAAGGCCAGGGGAGCAAACGGG